GUGCUCACUUAAGCAGCACAUAUACUAAAAUUGGAACAAUGUGAAGAAAAUUAGCAUGGCUCCUGAACAAGGAUGACACGCAAAUUCAUUAAGUGUUCCAUAUUUUU